rnacentral:rRNA from 1 species
AUUGAACGCUGGCGGCAGGCCUAACACAUGCAAGUCGAACGGUAACAGGAAGCAGCUUGCUGCUUCGCUGACGAGUGGCGGACGGGUGAGUAAUGUCUGGGAAGCUGCCUGAUGGAGGGGGAUAACUACUGGAGACGGUAGCUAAUACCGCAUAAUGUCGCAAGACCAAAGAGGGGGACCUUCGGGCCUCUUGCCAUCGGAUGUGCCCAGAUGGGAUUAGCUUGUUGGUGGGGUAACGGCUCACCAAGGCGACGAUCCCUAGCUGGUCUGAGAGGAUGACCAGCCACACUGGAACUGAGACACGGUCCAGACUCCUACGGGAGGCAGCAGUGGGGAAUAUUGCACAAUGGGCGCAAGCCUGAUGCAGCCAUGCCGCGUGUAUGAAGAAGGCCUUCGGGUUGUAAAGUACUUUCAGCGGGGAGGAAGGGAGUAAAGUUAAUACCUUUGCUAAUUGACGUUACCCGCAGAAGAAGCACCGGCUAACUCCGUG